rnacentral:rRNA from 1 species
AGUAAUACGCCACUGAACUGAAACCGUUCAGGUCCUACCGGAGCAGCAGUGGGGAAUAUGACAUGGGCGCAGCUGAUCCAGCCCCCCGCGUGAGGUGAUGAGCCUCGGUCGUAAGCUCUGUGGGGGAGGGACGACGCUGCCGGUAAUACCCGCAGCAUGACGUACUCUAGCAAGCACGGCUAACUCGUGCCAGCAGCCGCGGUAAUACGAAGGGUGCAAACGUGCUCGGAAUUAUUGGGCGUAAAGGGCGCGUAGGCGGCUUUGUAAGUCACUUGUGAAAUCUCUGAGCUUAACUCAGAACGGCCAAGUGAUACUGCAAUGCUAGAGUGCAGAAGGGGCAAUCGGAAUUCUUGGUGUAGCGGUGAAAUGCGUAGAUAUCAAGAGGAACACGUGAGGUGAAGACGGGUUGCUGGGCUGACACUGACGCUGAUGCGCGAAAGCCAGGGGAGCAAACGGGAUUAGAUACCCCGGUAGUCCUGGCCCUAAACGAUGAAUACUUGGUGUCUGGAGUUAUUAGUGCUCCGGGUGCCGUCGCUAACGUUUUUAGUAUUCCGCCUGGGGAGUACGCUCGCAAGAGUGAAACUCAAAGGAAUUGACGGGGACCCGCACAAGCGGUGGAGCAUGUGGUUUAAUUCGACGCAACGCGAAGAACCUUACCUAGGC